AUUGAACGCUGGCGGCAUGCCUUACACAUGCAAGUCGAACGGCAGCACGGGAGCAAUCCUGGUGGCGAGUGGCGAACGGGUGAGUAAUAUAUCGGAACGUGCCCAGUAGUGGGGGAUAACUGCUCGAAAGAGCAGCUAAUACCGCAUACGACCUGAGGGUGAAAGGGGGGGAUCGCAAGACCUCUCGCUAGUGGAGCGGCCGAUAUCAGAUUAGCUAGUUGGUGGGGUAAAGGCCUACCAAGGCAACGAUCUGUAGUUGGUCUGAGAGGACGACCAGCCACACUGGGACUGAGACACGGCCCAGACUCCUACGGGAGGCAGCAGUGGGGAAUUUUGGACAAUGGGCGCAAGCCUGGUCCAGCAAUGCCGCGUGCAGGAAGAAGGCCUUCGGGUUGUAAACUGCUUUUGUCAGGGAAGAAAUCCUCUAGGUUAAUACCCUUGGGGGGAUGACGGUACCUGAAGAAUAAGCACCGGCUAACUACGUGCCAGCCGCCGCAGUAACAC
rnacentral:rRNA from 1 species